rnacentral:rRNA from 1 species
CGAAUACUCCGCCGGCGACCGGCGCACGGGUGCGUAACGCGUAUGCAACCUACCUUUAACAGGGGCAUAACACUGAGAAAUUGGUACUAAUUCCCCAUAACAUUCGAGAAGGCAUCUUCUUGGGUUAAAAACUCCGGUGGUUAAAGAUGGGCAUGCGUUGUAUUAGCUAGUUGGUGAGGUAACGGCUCACCAAGGCAACGAUACAUAGGGGGACUGAGAGGUUAACCCCCCACAUUGGUACUGAGACACGGACCAA